GACGAACCGAGCGAACGUUGUUCGGAAUCACUGGGCUUAAAGGGCGCGUAGGCGGGCUGUCAAGUCUGGGGUGAAAUCCCGCGGCUCAACCGCGGAACUGCCAGAUACUGACGGUCUCGAGGGGGGUAGGGGCGAGCGGAACUGAUGGUGGAGCGGUGAAAUGCGUUGAUAUCAUCAGGAACUCCGGUGGCGAAGGCGGCUCGCUGGACCUCUUCUGACGCUGAGGCGCGAAAGCUAGGGGAGCAAACGGG
rnacentral:rRNA from 1 species